rnacentral:rRNA from 1 species
UACGAAGGGGGCUAGCGUUGUUCGGAAUUACUGGGCGUAAAGCGCGUGUAGGCGGCCAUCUAAGUCGGGCGUGAAAUCCCACGGCUCAACCGUGGAAGUGCACUCGAAACUGGAUGGCUAGAGUCCUGGAGAGGAAGGUGGAAUGCUUGGUGUAGAGGUGAAAUUCGUAGAUAUCAAGCGGAACACCGGUGGCGAAGGCGGCCUUCUGGACAGUGACGUGACGCUGAGACGCGAAAAGCUGAGGGGAGCAAACAGGG